ensembl:lncRNA
UUUCAAAGACUGCAGAAACCAGUUGAUUUUUAAAUGCUGUGAUAAACAGACUUUGUUGUACAUUUCAAUUCCUUAUUAAAUUAAGAGAAGUCUUUGCAUAUGUAGACAGCCAAAACAACUGGGGACUGAAAAUCUCUCACAGGACUUAACGUUUUCAUGAACACAGAAUUCACAGACACUGUAAACUAUGUGAUAAGUGUAUUUUAGUUUUUAUAUUUCAAUAUUUGUUACCCCCACCCAAGGUUACCCUCAACCAACUCAAUCCCCUUUGUAGCCUGCCUUUUAAAAACCAAGGUGCCACUGCAAUAUAGGAAUGUGAAUAGCAGUAAACUUGUCACAAGAGAAUAUUGUGACCGGCAUACAAAUUGACUUGAAGGCAACUUUAUUAGCUUUUAUUUUAAAUUAUCCCAAAGUCUUCCAAGACUGAAACAAGAACCAUGUUACUGUGUGUACUGUCACUGUUACAGUGUGCACCAUAACUCUAGUAGUUUGAGAAUUACGUGAACUAUUUUAAGGGCUAUGUCAUGAUAUACAGAAGGAAUUCUAAUUUUCAAUACUUUCACUAAUUUUGUCAUAGGUGGUUGUAUUAGUCCAUUCUCACAUUGCUAUAAAGAAAUACCUGAGACUGGGUAAUUUAUAUGAGAUUUAAUUGGUUCAGGGUUCUGCAGGCUGUACAGGAAGCAUGGUGGCCUCUGCUUCUGGAAAGACCUCAGGGAGCUUUUACUCAAAGCAGAAGGCAAAGUGGGAGCAGGCAGUUCACAUGCCAAAAUCAGGAGCAAGAGAGAGCAAGCGGGGAGGUGAUACACACUUUUAUAAACAACCACACCUUGAGAGAACUCACUGUCGCAGGAACAGCACCAAGGGGAUGGUGCUGAACCAUUCAAGAGAAAUUCACACCCAUGAUCCAAUCACUCCCACCAGGCCCUGCUUCCAACACUGGGAUUACAUUUUGACCUGAGAUAUGAGUGGGGACAACAUCCAAACUAUAUCAGUGAUCUUCAUUUAAAUUCUUCAGAGUGAUCAAUUUGGUAUUUUUUUUUUUUUGAUAGCAGUACUGCCAGCAGAGGUUAGACACAUUAAGAGUGCUGAGGAUGUGCUGCAGAGAUUUUACUCAACAGUCUCUUGCAUUUACCAAGGAGGUAUUUGUUGUAGACCUACUCUUUUUUUCCUCCAAUUAGUUCCAGAUACUGCUGCUGGAUCCACUCAAGGCCCACUUCUAUUCCUGAUGCCAUAUAAGCUGAAACAUUUUGUGACUCUCCAACAAAUGAAGCAUGAACAGUAAACACAAGAAUCCAAGUCUUUUGCCAAUGAUAUCGUGGCUCUCUCUAGUCUCAUUUUCUCUUGUUUGUAUCCUAAGCUUCAUCCAACCUAGACACACUCUUCUUAAAUAUGUCCUUGAUUUUCCUCCCUCUACAGUAUUUCUUCUACCCGUUCUACCUCCUUUUCCACUUGCAAAGUCCUCCAUCUUCUCCUUUAGGACCCAUCUGAAAUGUCUACUCCUUAAUGAAAACUUUUCUGAUCUCUCUAAUGGCAUGAGAUUUCUCUAUCCUAAAUACUCAUUACCCCUUUCUUUAUAUUUCAUUGUACUAGAUCCAGCUAGUUAACUAUAUUUUUUUAUCAUCCCUAAGAAGUCAUUAAAAAAAAAAACUUCUUGAGGGUAGGAAUGCUUUAAUUUAGAACCAAUAGAAUAUUACAAAAAAUACGUAGCAUGUGGGAGAGACUAUGGGAGAUACGAAAGCCAUGAAAGGAAAGAUACGAAAGGAAUUUAAACUUUAUCUUAUGGGCAUCAGACAACUAUUAUUGAAUAGAAAAAGUGACAUAUGAAAAAAAUGCUACAGGAAAAUUACUGAUUACUUGUAUUUACUGUAGAGGGGGCUAUGGGGAAAGAGUAAGGUUAUCUUGGAGACUGCAGAACAGUACAUUGGAAAAUUAGUAUGGCGGAGGAAACAAUACCUCUUUAAAGAAGAAAAGUAAAACUGGAGAGUUCAAUGAUGCUGAAAUAGGAGAAUCAUGAAAAUAGAUUAGAGGAGGCAGGGAGGAAAUAAUGACCUGAAGAACAGAUUCUGGAAGAGUCAUAUAAGAAUGAUACUAGGCAAAAGUAAAACCAGAAGUUUUUUACUUUUAUAGCCAUCUUCUGCUUUACUUUUUAGGGAAGCUUGAAAAUAUACUCUGCUUAUUCCAGUUAACAACUAAUACUAGCUACAUUUCUCAAAGUGAGUAUCCAGACGGCUCAGCUAUUUUAAAAGAUACUGAUAAUCUCAAAAUAAGUUUUCAUAAAUAAAAAUCACCAUCUGACUUAACUUUUGCACUGCAAAAGAUUUGUUUAACAAAUACUCACCAGUUGAUCUGCUGGGACUGUUCUAGCAUUAGAGUAUACAACAAAGGAGUUGCUUGCUGUCAUGGAGCUUAUGUUCUAUCUAGACGCAGAUGACUAACAUGCAGUGUGACUAGACAUCCUGGUUUGCCCAGGAUUGAGGGGUUUCCCGGGAUGCAGGACUUCCAGUGCUAAGCCUGGGAAAUCAGUGACAAACAACAAAUGCUACUGGCAGCUGAUCUCCCAAUGAUCACCUAAAACAACCCUGCCCCCUACUUCCCACUUCCUGGUAUUCAUGCCCUUAUGUAAACCCUUCUCACAUUAAAUAGGGCUGACCUGCAUAAGUAACAACACAUUGUGGAAACGACUGUGGGUGACUUCCAAGGCUAGGUCAUGAAAGAAAUUCAUGAAUUUCAUGUGGCUCUCCGCUACACUCAAGCAGCCCUAUGGAGAAGCCUGCUUGUCAAGGAACCAAAACCUCUUGCUAUCAGCUAUGUAAAUCAACCAUCUUUAAGGGAGAUUCUCCAGCCACAGUCAAAUACAGUCAGACUUUCAGAUGACUUUAGCCCUGGACAGCAUGUUCACUGCAACCUCUUAGCAGAUCUUAGAACCACCCAGCUAAGUCAUUCAAAUGCCUGACAUACAGAAACUGAAAUAAAGCUUGAUGCUAAAUUUGGGGGUAAUUUAAUACAGAGUAGUAGAUAACUAAUACAGUGCUAGAGAAGAGUUAUGCCUGGUAAGGACUUAGGAAGGUAGGCACUAUUUUUGGUAAGUGGAUUUGGAUAAGCCUCUCUUACAAAGGCAUUUGGGCAGAGAUCCAAAAAAUAAGGGAGCAAGCCAGCAAAAGGAUGUUCCAAGCGGAAGAGUAAUGGACUUCUGACUCAGUACCAACUAAAGUGAUUGUCAGAAGAACAUCAAAUGUGUCAUUGCGACUCAAGUAGGGUGAGCAGGGUAGAGAAGGGGGUGUGGCAGGACAUCAGAGGGAGGGGCAGAGCCUCGCAGAAUAAAAAGUAAGGUGUUUGAAUUUGAUUGAGUCAAGGGAAGCCACUGGAAGGUUUUUUAAAAGCGUCAUCUUCUUUUGGUUUUCUAUUAGCAGCUUGGAUUCUGAGCAUGCAACAUUCGAUUCUGUAACAAGGCUGACAAGGGUUCAACCAGGCUGUGUGGAUGAAAUCUAUGACCUCCUCAAGCAUUUGAAGUUCAUGUUUUCUUUUUAUUUUAGGACGGAAUCUUGCUCUGUCGCCCAGGCUGCAGUGCAGUGGCGCGAUCUCGGCUCACCACAACCUCCUCCCCCGCGCCCCCGGGCUCAAGCGAUUCUCCUGCCUCAACCUCCCAAGUAGCUGAGAUUACAGGUCUGCGCCACUGCGCCAGGACUAAUUUUUCUAUUUUUUUUUUUUUUUAGCAGAGACUGGGUUUCGCCAUGUUGGCCAGGCUGGUCUUGAACCCCUGACCUCAGAUGAUCCGCCUGCCUAGGCCUCCCAAAGUGCUGGGAUUACAGACGUGAGCCACCGCGCCUGGCCUGAAGUUCUUUUCUACAGAACUUUGCUGUCCGAUACACAUGAGGCUACACAACCAACUGGGCACCUGACACGGGGCUAGUCCAAAUUGAGACGGGCUGUUAACUCGAAAACACACACUGGAUUUCCAAGACUUAGAACUAAUCACAGAGCGUAAAAGAUCUCAUUAAUUCUUUUAGACUGAUUACAUGCUGAAAUGACAGGAUGGGCUAAAUUAAAUACAUCAUUAAAAGCAGUUUCACCGAUUUCUCUUUACUCUUUAAAAAUGUGGCUACUACUAGAAUUACCUACGUGGCUCGGACUGUGUGUCUACAGGGAGCUCCUCUCCGGCACUCUGUACACUCAAGUUUCGCCGGUGUCCUCCGCCCGAAGGGCCGCCUCAGAAAGGCCGAGCCUCCGGCCCGGCCUCUCCGGUUUCCCGGGGAAGCGGUCCAGCCCCCGGCGAGGGCUCCGAGGUUGGCCCCGAGGGUUAAGGGUCAGCCCUGGCCCUCGCGACAUCCAUUCACCCGGCUCCGCGGGUGCAGCGCGCGGUCCUCAGAGAAACCCCGACCCUGGCGUCGCUGACCCGACCAUUCAUUAAUCGGGGGCUUCCGAGGGCCCGGGAGCAGCCUCGGGCGCCCCACUCCCCCAUUCUCGCGUAGCCGUCUCUUUGACCGCGUCACACUGAGC